rnacentral:lncRNA from 1 species
CCUUUAAUUGCCACAGCAGUGCCCGACGUGCCCGAGACCCCCGAAGGGAUCGGGGCCAGAUCCGCUUUGGGGGGGUCAAAUCCCCCCGGGGAGGGGUCAAAUCCCACCCUGGAGGGGUCAGAUCCCACCCUGGAGGGGUCAAAUCCCACCCUGGGGGGGUCAAAUCCCACCCUGGGGGGGUCAAAUCCCACCCUGGGGGUUCCAGAAAGUUCCUUCAGGAUCUGGAGAGGGGACACAACACCCGACCCCAAAUCCUCUCCUGAUGGGAUCGGGGCUGGAUCCUGCCCCAUGGAGGGGUCAGAUCCCACCCAGGGGGGAUCAAACCCCACCCCAGGGGGGGUCAGAUCCCACCCAGGGGGUCUCAGGCGGCCCGGGGGGCUCC